UGUUGGUGGAGUAAUGGUUCAGCAUAAUUUGAACACCACAGCCUAUCUGAAUAUUGUUGAUGACCAAAUGCAUUCCUUUAUGGGCACAAUUUACUGACUUAUAAUGGGUACUUCCAGCAUGAUGUCCCCAAUCAUCAGCUCUCACUCCAAUAGAGCACCUUUGGGAUGAGCUAGAGGAGGAGAUCCACAGCAUGGAUGCGCAGCUGACAAAUCUGGAGCAAUCAUGUGAUGCACAAAAAGGUUUCUAGCACCUUGUGGAAGCCCUCUUGGAUGGCCAUGUUAUCUGCAUACCAAUUCAUCUGAUAAGCAAUGGACUACAGAGCCUUAGAACAUGCCAGAAAAAGGUCACAUGACUGCUUUUAAACUCACAGACACAGCGUAAUACUGACACUGCAAGGCUGUGUGAUCAGUAAUUCAGGACUGUUGAUAUCAGUGAAUAAUCCUGAUAAGAAAAUCAUAACUGACAGCUGCAUACUUAAUGGGAACAUGUUCAAUCUGCAUUACAAAUCUAAUCUGAAUAAUUUAUUCACUGUUUAUUUUAAGUGUCUUCUGAGAUGAGCCAAACGCUCAGGCAGCAUGUCAUGAUGUAUUUCAGCAUGCCUCCGGGAAGUACAGAACCUCACAGAAUCAGCACGUCAGUACUGCUGGGCUUGAGGCCAGAGAUACCAGCUGCUCCUGGAGGAUUCCCAGACAUUCACAAGCCAAAUAUGAGAUAUAAUCUCUCCAACAAGUCCUGGGUCUGGCCCAGGGUCUACAUCCAGUGGAACUUGCCUAAUACAGUUCUAUUGGGAGGAUUUAUUACUACUACCAGUCUCUCUCAGAUUGUCAAGCUCAUGGCAAGCCCAGCAGCCCUGCCUGUACUCCAAUCCUUAUAUUUGCCAUCACUACACACAGAUCGUGACCGUAGGUGCGGUUAGGGACAUGGAUUACCCAGUAAACAGGGAGCUUUGUCCAGAAAUUGAGCUCCUGCUUCACCACACACAAUUUGGACAUUGACAAAUGAACACAUCUGGGGGAAGAAGUCAGAAAAAGAAUGAUCCCAAUGAAAACCAUGUAAGUGUACCUGCCCAAAUUAGGGUUACCAGGAUCCACCCUGGAGCCAGGCUGGAGGUAGUGUCCACAUGUGGUCUGACAUCUGGUGUCCGAGCUACCAACGAACCCCAGUCAGGAUCUGCCUGAAAUGCCAUAUGGAGCCAUCUUUAUGUUUUCAACUAUGCUAGAGAACUUUACCUCUCCUGGAAGUGUGCUCACACAUAAACACAACUCCCUGAACUCUGAAACGCUUCACAAUAUAUAACAGCAAGUGUUUUAUUACAGCUGGCCAGAUGGUUACUUUUACAGGAGCGUAGACCUCGGCCUUCGUUAGCCAUCUUAAAAUGACAUAAUUACAUGUUCUCAUAUGUUGUGUAUAAAGCUUGGAUGGGAAAAUCGCAAACAUGUUUAUCAACAUUACUGAGUUACAGAAGUAACACAUAACCCACUCGAAUGAUUAAAUAAACAUCAACUCUCAGGUUAUCAUCAUAUC